CAAUAGCGUAUAUUAAAGCUGUUGCGGUUAAAAAGCUCGUAGUUGGAUUUCUGUCAAGGGCAACUGGUCCGCCCUCCGGGUGAGCACAUAGUUUGGUCUUGGCAUCUUGCUGGAAACUGUUGCUGCACUUGGCUGUGUGGCGCAGCGUCCAGCACUUUCACUUUGAGGAAAUUGGAGUGUUUCAAGCAGGCACAUGCCUUUGGACACAGUAGCAUGGAAUAAUUAGAUUGGGCUUUUGCUCCAAUUUGUCGGUUUCUGGAGCUGAGGUGAGAAUUAAUGGGGAUUGUUGGGGGCAUCCGAAUUUAGCCGUCAGAGGUGAAAUUCUUGGAUCUGCUAAAGACGGACAACUGCGAAAGCGUUUGCCCAGGAUGUUUUCAUUGA
rnacentral:rRNA from 1 species